CCACGCUGGGCGCACAGCCCGCGGUCUGUCCCCCGCACUGCGGGACCUGAGAACAGCAGACUGCCGGCUCCUCUCCCACAAGGGAGGGCUUGGUUGCCGGCUCAGACGCUCCCCGCCCCUCGCCUCCGGCCACCAGCCUCUCCGCCCGGGGUCAACCCUUCCAGCCUUUCGCUCUCAUCUAACCGGACGCAGGACCGACAGCCUCUCCAGGGCCUACCCGGGCCUCGCUUCCUCCGGUGCCAAGCUCCAAGGUCUCCUCACCUCUCGCGGAGGACCAAGCCAGACCGGACGCUCCAGGCCCGAAAGGCAACUCCCCUCCCACCACUCCCUGACUCGCCGGUCUUUCCUCCCAACUGCAGCCGCUGAAAAAGCCAAGUCCUAAGGUCCCCCUCCAUCAGCUUCCGGGCCUCCCUUCACGGCUGGGCCCGAACCCCCAGCCCUGCCCUCUCGCCAUCUCGCUUCCCCGAGUCGCGAGGCCGAGCCCCGGGGCUGGACGGCUUCUUUCCCCGGCUUCGCGCCCGCCCGGCGUGCGGAAGACUCACCACUGAGCGCGGAGGCCUGCAGUGUGGCCCCCGAGGUGCCGUCGAUGACUUUGAUGGUCCCGCGGCUAGUGACGGCCAGGAUGGCGUUGAGCGCAGGGUGGUAGGACAGGCUGUGCAGCCCGUCGGCGUCGCAGUGCAUGCAGCCGUCCCGCAGCACCAGCCACUCUGAGACCCCGGCCGCCCCCGCCCCCGCCGCCGAGGAGCAGCCGGGGCCCGAGGCCGCCGCAGCCGCAGCCGCCAUCUUCCGGCCUGCGCUCAGCACAAUCACACUGGGAAGCGGCUCAGUGACAGUCCCGGGAGGUGCAGCACCACCACCAGUCACCAUCCGGGGCCAGGGGGCAAGCCGAGCGCGUUAGCCGGAAGUGAAGUCAGGCGCCCGCACGCACGCGGAACGUCGAUCGCCCGGCCGGAGGGGCCAAACUCGGAGGGAGGCUGACGGGAGAGGGGGAGAAGCAGGGAGGGAGGCGGGGCCCGGGGCGCGGGCUGGAGGCCGGCGGGUGGAGCAUGCGCGGGAGGGCUCGCGCGUGCCACGCGCCGCGGGUCUGGCCAGUUCCGCGUCCGCAGCGUCCCAGUUUCUUCCUGUGAGCCUGGGGAGUGGCGGCUGCCGAGUCCGCCCCGCUCCUCGCGGGGGCAGGGGGAGGGGUUGGCCUCCGUGCAUUUCCGCUAGGUGGGGACCCCCGCCCUUGCGACCUGUCCGGUACGCCCGGAGGCCUUUUGCAGCGGUUCCAGCUGCGCCUUGACCGUUCCCGGUACGCACGGUGCAGCUGU
rnacentral:lncRNA from 1 species